rnacentral:rRNA from 1 species
GCCUACGGGGCGCAGCAGUGAGGAAUAUUGGUCAAUGGGCUUACGCCUGAACCAGCCAAGUCGCGUGAGGGAAGACUGCCCUAUGGGUUGUAAACCUCUUUUGUCAGGGAGCAAUUGGCGCUACGUGUAGCGUUAUCGAGAGUACCUGAAGAAAAAGCAUCGGCUAACUCCGUGCCAGCAGCCGCGGUAAUACGGAGGAUGCGAGCGUUAUCCGGAUUUAUUGGGUUUAAAGGGUGCGCAGGCGGACCAUCAAGUCAGCGGUAAAAUCGUGGGGCCCAACCCCAUCCCGCCGUUGAAACUGGCGG